rnacentral:rRNA from 1 species
GAUGAACGCUGGCGGUCUGCUUAACACAUGCAAGUCGAACGGAAGUAGCAAUACUUUAGUGGCGGACGGGUGAGUAACACGUAAGAAUCUGCCUCCAGGACGGGAAAAACAGUUGGAAACGACUGCUAAUUCCGGAUGAGCCGAAAGGUAAAAAGAAAUUGGCCUGGAGAUGAGCUUGCGGCUGAUUAGCUAGUUGGUAGGGUAAGAGCCUACCAAGGCGACGAUCAGUAGCUGGUCUGAGAGGAUGAGCAGCCACACUGGGACUGAGACACGGCCCAGACUCCUACGGGAGGCAGCAGUGGGGAAUGUUCCGCAAUGGGCGAAAGCCUGACGGAGCAAGACCGCGUGGGGGAGGAAGGUUCUUGGAUUGUCAACCCCUUUUCUCAGGGAAGAAGAUCUGACGGUACCUGAGGAAUCAGCAUCGGCUAACUCCGUGCCAGCCGCCGCCGUAAAAC